AGGGUUUGAUCCUGGCUCAGAACGAACGCUGGCGGCAGGCCUAACACAUGCAAGUCGAGCGCUACCUUCGGGUGGAGCGGCGGACGGGUUAGUAACGCGUGGGAAUAUACCCAGUUCUAAGGAAUAGCCACUGGAAACGGUGAGUAGUACCUUAUACGCCCUUCGGGGGAAAGAUUUAUCGGAAUUGGAUUAGCCCGCGUUAGAUUAGAUAGUUGGUGGGGUAAUGGCCUACCAAGUCUACGAUCUAUAGCUGGUUUGAGAGGAUGAUCAGCAACACUGGGACUGAGACACGGCCCAGACUCCUACGGGAGGCAGCAGUGGGGAAUCUUAGACAAUGGGCGCAAGCCUGAUCUAGCCAUGCCGCGUGAGUGAUGAAGGCCCUAGGGUCGUAAAGCUCUUUCAACUGUGAAGAUAAUGACGGUAGCAGUAGAAGAAACCCCGGCUAACUCCGUGCCAGCAGCCGCGGUAAUACGGAGGGGGUUAGCGUUGUUCGGAAUUACUGGGCGUAAAGCGUACGUAGGCGGAUUAAUAAGUUAGAGGUGAGAUCCCAGGGCUCAACCCUGGAGCUGCCUUUAAAACUGUUAGUCUUGAGAUCGAGAGAGGUGAGUGGAAUUCCAAGUGUAGAGGUGAAAUUCGUAGAUAUUUGGAGGAACACCAGUGGCGAAGGCGGCUCACUGGCUCGAUACUGACGCUGAGGUACGAAAGUGCGGGGAGCAAACAGGAUUAGAUACCCUGGUAGUCCACACCGUAAACGAUGAAUGCCAGACGUCAGCAAGCAUGCUUGUUGGUGUCACACCUAACGGAUUAAGCAUUCCGCCUGGGGAGUACGGUCGCAAGAUUAAAACUCAAAGGAAUUGACGGGGGCCCACACAAGCGGUGGAGCAUGUGGUUUAAUUCGACGCAACGCGCAGAACCUUACCAACCCUUGACAUACUUGUCGCGGAUUCCAGAGAUGGAUUCCUUCAGUUCGGCUGGACAAUGUACAGGUGCUGCAUGGCUGUCGUCAGCUCGUGUCGCGAGAUGUUCGGUUAAGUCCGGCAACGAGCGCAACCCACGUCCUUAGUUACCAGCAUUUAGUUGGGUACCCUAAGGAGACUGCCGGUGAUAAGCCGGAGGAAGGUGUGGACGACGUCAAGUCAUCAUGGCCCUUACGGGUUGGGCUACACACGUGCUACAAUGGCAUCUACAGUGAGUUAAUCUCCAAAAGAUGUCUCAGUUCGGAUUGGGGUCUGCAACUCGACCCCAUGAAGUUGGAAUCGCUAGUAAUCGCGGAACAGCAUGCCGCGGUGAAUACGUUCCCGGGCCUUGUACACACCGCCCGUCACACCAUGGGAAUUGGGUCUACCCGAAGGUGGUGCGCCAACUAUUUAUAGGGGCAGCCAACCACGGUAGGUUCAGUGACUGGGGUGAAGUCGUAACAAGGUAACCA
rnacentral:rRNA from 1 species